rnacentral:lncRNA from 1 species
AAAGUUUAUUAAUAUUCUUUUGUAUAUAUACAAUUACACUUUUAAUAACUUGUAUAUUUUUUGUAUACUAUUCCAUAUGACACUAAGGUCGUUUAGUAGGCUUAUAUUAACAAUAUGUCUGUUUUUUGCUCUCUAUUUAUAUAUUUGGACAACUUUAGUUAUUCUUUCUUGUUCUUUGUCAUCUAUUCAUUUGAUUACUGUAUUUUUGCUUGGUCCUACUUGAUGAUUAAAUUGCAGAUAAUCACUGUCUAUUUGAGGAUUGUGAUGUCUGCUCAUUUUCAACAUCCAAUAUUUUUGAACUCUGUUUUUGUGCAAUGAAGAUCUUGCUAUAGAAGAAGAAUUGUGGGUUUCACCUGUAGCCUUAAGAUAAGCCAUAUUUAUUCUUAACAAAUAUUUAUUUAUUCUUGAUUCUGUUAUUAAAAUACAGUAUGUAGAUAUUUGUGAAUGUAAGUAUUAAAAACAUUCAAAAAUAUUAAUUUAUUGAGCACUUCAUAAAUAAGAUCAGAAUAGUGUAAUCCAAUGUUUUUUAAUGAAUGUCAUUAUGGUGACUGUUAUCUAUGCAUCAUCAAUUAAUAUUAAAUAGAAAUUAGCAAUCCUUAGUAUAUAUGAAUAACAAUUUAU